AAGAGUGGUUCACAGAAACCUUCUUACCCAGUGCAUGUUUAUCCCGGUAGAGGAGGAGGACAAACCUACAGCUGAGGAGGAGGAAUCAGAUUUAGAUCUGAAUGAGACAAGGUUAGAAACAGACCUGCAACAGAAUGCAGAGGCAGUCAGCAUGGAGGAAACUGGACCAUCUCUGCAGCUUGGAGAAAUGAACCAAAACGACAAACAAGCCAGCCAAGAGGAAGGGGAUAAGGCAGGAGAAAAUGCAUCCCAUGGCAUUUCAGAUUCACUGCAGAGCAGUGGGAUUCCAAGAAAAAACCCACCCAGGGCCAGACGUCCUCCCAAAAAGUUGUCGUAUGAAGAAAGGGUCACAAAAACAGAAGAGGAGCAGCAGAAGAUAGAAAGAGGAUGGAAGCUGUGGCAGAGGGAAAAGGCAAAGAGAGCUCAAAGACACACAUAAACACUCAAAGACACACAACCAUACAUAUCAUACAAGAUAAAUCUGAGCAGUACAUUUUAUUGUUGAUGAAAAGCCUGUUUAGGGCUCUUUCAGUUAAUUCUUUUCAUGUUCUGUUUUGUUUGAUGGCAGAGACGCCAUCAAAUAAAGAAGGGGUAGAUGUAAAGCGGUGCAUAAAUGUUCCAAAAGGGGGUGCUGUUUUCUGCUAUUCCUGGCACUACCGCAAUUCUAACAUGUUUGUCCUGCUGGGGACACCGUAGUGCAGGGGAUUUUUUUGUGCGCGAACGCUGUAUUCCUUACAGUGUGUUUACUGCCUGUAAGGUGGACGAAAUAAACGCGCCAAGGUCUCCCCACAACUAAGAGCCCUGUGUCCAGUUCCUCUUCUGCACGGAACACAUCCCACCUUCACCCAAAA